AAUGCCAUUCGACAGUUCGCGCAAAAGUGAGCCUGGCACAGUUUGACGCCAUCAAAGUAGCUCCUUUCCUGGAUGGUCCGGUUGAAGGGAAGUUCUUCCACGUACUUCAGUCAUUUCCCUGCCCCACGAGGAUGGCGUUGCACAAAGUAGAAAAUCCGGAGCGAAGGCAGCAAGGUAAACAAAUCUAAUGCUUAUGUGUGCGACGGUACCGCUGAAGCUAGAAAAAGGACGAUGGAAAACAGCAGAAAGAGAUGGGAUCAUUCUGGCGUGCCCUUCCACCAUACCCCGUCUGUUGGUAAGGCAAGGCAUACGACACUGAUCUGCACAUAAUCCGCGGACCUGCUGGGACCUUUUCGGAGCGAAUUGCGGAACAACGGAAAAGAGCUCUCUGGCCAGUUUCGGAUCAUUUCAUGAGGACACGCGCGCGCUGCACAUAAGCGAUUAUUUAUUUUCCAAAUCAGAUUUACAAUUCUACGGGAGAACAAGGUGUUUGGUGUGGAGGAAAUGGAGUCGUUUGUAAUGGUUGUCAUUUAUCUGAACAUGGAGCUCUUCCUAUGUACUACCAAUGAAAUAUAAUGUGUUGCUGAACUCCUACGCGCUUGUUAUCUUCAGGUGAGCUUUACGAAGGUCGACGGAGAAGUGUUGGAGCAGCAUGGAGACACGGGUAAGCGUCCUUCUCCUUCUUCCUUGUGUGUCACGGGGAAGAGAUUUCCAUGGAGCUCUCUAUUCGUCGU